UUGGAGGGCAAGUCUGGUGCCGAGCAGCCGCGGUAAUUCCAGCUCCAACAGCGUAUAUUAAAGUUGUUGUGGUUAAAAAGCUCGUAGUUGAACCUUGGGCCUGGCUGGCCGGUCCGCCUCACCGCGUGCACUGGUCCGGCCGGGCCUUUCCCUCUGCGGAACCCCAUGCCCUUCACUGGGUGUGGCGGGGAAACAGGACUUUUACUUUGAAAAAAUUAGAGUGCUCAAGGCAGGCCUAUGCUCGAAUACAUUAGCAUGGAAUAAUAGAAUAGGA
rnacentral:rRNA from 1 species